rnacentral:rRNA from 1 species
UCAAGUAAAUAAAGCGCGUAUGGUGGAUGCCUUGGCAGUAAGAGGCGAUAAAGGACGUAGUAGCCUGCGAUAAGCUUCGGGAAGCUGGCAAACAAGCAAUGAUCCGGAGAUUUCCGAAUGGGAAAACCCAACCUUUCGAGGUUAUUAUGUGCUAAAUUCAUAGGCACAUAAGGCGAACCUGGAGAACUGAAACAUCUAAGUACCCAGAGGAAAAAAAAUCAACCGAGAUUCCGUUAGUAGCGGCGAGCGAAAGCGGAACAGCCCAGUUACUAAAUCGUUAUUGGCUUUAGCAGAAUGUUCUGGAAAGUUCAGCCGUAGUAGGUGAUAGCCCCGUAUGUAAAAAGGCUAAUAAUGUGAGUAACAAUGAGUAAGUCGGGACACGUGAAAUCUUGACUGAAUAUGGGGGGACCAUCCUCCAAGGCUAAAUACUCCUUACUGACCGAUAGCGAACUAGUACCGUAAGGGAAAGGUAAAAAGAACCCCGACAAGGGGAGUGAAAUAGAACCUGAAACCGUAUGCGUACAAGCAGUCAAAGCAUUUUUUCGAAAAUGUAAUGGCGUACCUUUUGUAUAAUGGGUCAGCGACUUACUUGUUGUAGCAAGCUUAACCGUAUAGGGGAGGCGUAAGGAAACUGAGUCUGAAAUAGGCGUUUAGUUGCAACGAGUAGACCCGAAACCGGGCGAUCUAUCUAUGGCCAGGGUGAAGGUCAAGUAACACUGACUGGAGGCCCGAACUCACUACUGUUGAAAAAGUAGGGGAUGAGUUGUAGAUAGGAGUGAAAGACUAAUCAAGCUCGGAAAUAGCUGGUUCUCCUCGAAAGCUAUUUAGGUAGCGCCUCGUGUAUGACUCUUGGGGGUAGAGCACUGUUUCGGCUAAAAGGCCUCUCAGCCUGCUAAACCGAGGCAAACUCCGAAUACCAAGAAGUUUUAGCACGGGAGACACACUGCGGGUGAUAAGGUCCGUGGUGAAAAGGGAAACAGCCCAGACCGCCAGCUAAGGUCCCAAAAUUACAGUUAAGUGAAAAACGAUGUAGGAAGUCUCAGACAGCCAGGAGGUUGGCUUAGAAGCAGCCAUCCUUUAAAGAAAGCGUAAUAGCUCACUGGUCAAGUCGUCCUGCGCGAAAGAUUUAACGGGGCUUAAACUGUAUACCGAAGCUGCGGAGCUCUUUUUAGAGCUGGUAGAGGAGCGUUCUGUAAACCUGUGAAGGUAAAUCGAAAGGUUUACUGGAGGUAUCAGAAGUGCAAAUGCUGACAUAAGUAACGAUAAUGUAGGUGAAAAACCUACACGCCGAAAGUCCAAGGUUUCCUGCGCAACGCUAAUCGGCGCAGGGUGAGUCGGCCCCUAAGGUAAAGCAGAAAUGCGUAGUCGAUGGGAAACAGGUUAAUAUUCCUGUACUUUACAAUACUGCGAUGGGAGGACGAAGAAGGCUAGGUCAGCCACUUAAUGGUUGUAGUGGUUUAAGUGUGUAGGAAAAGUUCUUUGGCAAAUCCGGGAACUUAAUUCUGAGAUAUAAUGACAAAGCAUGACUUGUUCAUGCGAAGUGACUAAUGCCACGCUUCCAGGAAAAGUCUCUAAGCUUCAGGUGUUGUAAAACCGUACCUAAACCGACACAGGUAGACAAGUAGAGAAUACUAAGGCGUUUGAGAGAACUUGGGUGAAGGAACUAGGCAAAAUGACACCGUAACUUCGGGAGAAGGUGUGCCUUUAAUAAGUGAAAGUCUUCACGACUAAAGCUGAAAAAGGUUGCAAAUACCAGGUGGCUGCGACUGUUUACUAAAAACACAGCACUCUGCAAACUCGUAAGAGGACGUAUAGGGUGUGACGCCUGCCCGGUGCCGGAAGGUUAAAUGAUGGAGUUAGUUUUCGAGCAAAGCUUCAGAUUGAAGCCCCGGUAAACGGCGGCCGUAACUAUAACGGUCCUAAGGUAGCGAAAUUCCUUGUCGGGUAAGUUCCGACCUGCACGAAUGGCGUAACGACUUCCCCGCUGUCUCCAGCAUAGACUCAGUGAAAUUGAAUUCCCCGUGAAGAUGCGGGGUUCCUGCGGUUAGACGGAAAGACCCCGUGCACCUUUACUAUAGCUUUACAUUGGCAUUCGUAGUGGCAUGUGUAGGAUAGGUGGUAGGCUUUGAAACCUGGGCGCCAGCUCAGGUGGAGCCACCCUUGAAAUACCACCCUUAUUACUAUGGAUGUCUAACCGCGGCCCGUUAUCCGGGUCCGGGACAAUGUAUGGUGGGUAGUUUGACUGGGGCGGUCGCCUCCUAAAGAGUAACGGAGGCGCGCGAUGGUGGGCUCAGAACGGUCGGAAAUCGUUCGCUGAGUGCAAUGGCAUAAGCCUGCCUGACUGCGAGACUGACAAGUCGAGCAGAGACGAAAGUCGGUCAUAGUGAUCCGGUGGUCCCGCGUGGAAGGGCCAUCGCUCAACGGAUAAAAGGUACGCCGGGGAUAACAGGCUGAUGACCCCCAAGAGUCCAUAUCGACGGGGUUGUUUGGCACCUCGAUGUCGACUCAUCGCAUCCUGGGGCUGGAGCAGGUCCCAAGGGUAUGGCUGUUCGCCAUUUAAAGCGGUACGUGAGUUGGGUUCAGAACGUCGUGAGACAGUUCGGUCCCUAUCUGCCGUGGGUGUAGGAAUAUUGAAAGGAUCUGUCCCUAGUACGAGAGGACCGGGAUGGACGGAUCUCUGGUGGACCUGUUGUGGCGCCAGCCGCAUAGCAGGGUAGCUAUAUCCG